AGAGACUAAGACACACCCAGUGAUGAUGAACACAGAAUCGACGCACUCAAUGUCUGAGUACCAUAGGCACGCUGACUAACUUCCAAUGCCAUAACCAACUACGUAGGGUGAGAUUUGGUUUCUCACACUUUCACAGGUCUCAAGCCAUCACAGUGGAGCAUGCAUAACAGAGCAGAGUGCUCACCUCACAGAGGCCACAAAAGCAGUGGUGUCAGAAGAACCAGGGCAAGGCACACUCCCCAGGGAUGCUUCGCCACCGAUUUUCUCUAACCGGGCACUUCCUUCCAUAGCUCACCACCUUCCCAUAGUCCCCAUCCUUAUGAUCUGGUCACUGGAGAUGCUGUCACAGACACAUGUGGAAGGGUGCUUUACUAAUCUAGAUGUCUCCGUCCAAUCAAAUUGGCCAUCAAGAUUAAUCAUGAUGCCCAUCCACUUCCUCGGCAUCGUUCUGGACCACUGCGCCCAGGCUAUGGCUUGAAAUCCCAAUCCUGCCCUGUGGGUGCUGUCAAGCAGGUGCCGAGAAGACAAUUCUCCUUUGCCUUAACUCCCAUGUCUGUGGUCACCCCAGCACCAUACACAGGUGUUAAAGGUCCUGACAGCCUUCCCCAAAGGCAUGAGGGGAAAGGCCAACUGAGAACUGUCCGCCUUGCUCUUCCAAGCUCCCUUGAGGGCACGUCCAUUGUCGGCAGUGCCACCCACAUACCCAGGAGAGCAAUAGCAGUUCUCCAAGUGCUCUUUGACGAGACCGGAAGACGUUUCCUUCAGUCCUCCUCAGACUUCAGGUCCACCUCCCAGGAUCCACACCCACCACUGUGAGGUUUUGAAGCCUCUCACCUCAGCACAGCCUCCUCAGGCAAGGCUUCUGCCCAUGUCCUUUCAUUUGACUUACUUUUGUUUUUAAACGAUACCCAGGUUUUCUGGAAGCUGUAGGCAGCAAACCGCAGUGGCAAAUGAGAUGCGCGCAUGCCCACGUUCUCCGUAAUGCUCACAAGACGCCAUGGUAAAGCGACAGGGAGCACGGAGUCUCAGCCUCUGCUUUUGUCACACGGGGGAGCUUGGAGCCACAUCAGGCAUCUUGUUACCAAAAGGAAAACAGUGCAGCUUUGAAGAAAGUCCUGAAAACCAGUGGACAUGCCUGGGUCCUCAGAACACCACACACGUUCCAGACUCCCUCCCCCUGACCUGCAUCGAGGUGCGAAUCACCCUUGUAAUCUUGCUCUUUUACACUAUUUUGCCAUUUGCAGCUAAAAUUCCCUGAUAAAGUGAUUCCCCAAACUG